rnacentral:rRNA from 1 species
UACGGAGGAUGCAAGCGUUAUCCGGAAUGAUUGGGCGUAAAGGGUCCGCAGGUGGCAAUGUGUGUCUGCUGUCAAAGAAUGAGGCUUAACCUCAUCAAGGCAGUGGAAACUACAUAGCUAGAGUACGGUCGGGGUAGAAGGAAUUCCUGGUGUAGAGGUGAAAUUCGUAGAUAUCGGGAGGAACACCGGUGGCGAAGGCGGCGACCUGGGUAGAUACUGACGCUGAGGUGCAAAAGCGUGGGGAGCAAACAGG